rnacentral:rRNA from 1 species
AACGAACGCUGGCGGCAUGCCUAACACAUGCAAGUCGAACGAGACCUUCGGGUCUAGUGGCGCACGGGUGCGUAACGCGUGGGAACCUGCCCUUAGGUUCGGAAUAACUCCCCGAAUGGGGUGCUAAUACCGGAUAAUGUCUUCGGACCAAAGAUUUAUCGCCUUUGGAUGGGCCGGCGUUGGAUUAGCUAGUUGGUAGGGUAAAAGCCUACCAAGGGUCCGAUCAAUAGCUGGUCUGAGAGGAUGAUCAGCGACCCUGGGACUGAGACACGGCCCAGACUCCUACGGGAGGCAGCAGUGGGGAAUAUUGGACAAUGGGCGAAAGCCUGAUAAAGCAAUGCCGCGUGAGUGAUGAAGGCCUUAGAGUGGUAAAGCUCUUUUACCCGGGAUGAUAAUGACAGUACCGGGAGAAUAAGCACCGGCUAACUCCGUG